rnacentral:lncRNA from 1 species
GCCAAUCCUAGUGCAUCCUUGGGUAGGUUGUUAACCAAUUAUUUCAUCAAAAUAAUUUUUAAUAAUUAUAUUUUACCCCAGGUAUCUCUUCAGCAGACAUGUGGUAUCUCCACUGAAAAUUCUGAUUAGAUCCAACCAUUAACAUAACUACACUAAGUGCAUCCAACAAACGAAUGCCUAGGUCCGAGUGUGGCUCGACCAACCUGACCAUUAAUAUGGAGGAC